GACGAACGCUGGCGGCGUGCUUAACACAUGCAAGUCGAACGGAAAGGCCCUGCGUUUGUGGGGUGCUCGAGUGGCGAACGGGUGAGUAACACGUGAGUAACCUGCCCUUGACUUUGGGAUAACUUCAGGAAACUGGGGCUACUACCGGAUAGGAGCUCCUGCUGCAUGGUGGGGGUUGGAAAGUUUCGGCGGUUGGGGAUGGACUCGCGGCUUAUCAGCUUGUUGGUGGGGUAGUGGCUUACCAAGGCUUUGACGGGUAGCCGGCCUGAGAGGGUGGCCGGCCACAAUGGGACUGAGAUACGGCCCAGACUCCUACGGGAGGCAGCAGUGGGGAAUAUUGCACAAUGGGCGGAAGCCUGAUGCAGCAACGCCGCGUGCGGGAUGACGGCCUUCGGGUUGUAAACCGCUUUCGCCUGUGACGAAGCGUGAGUGACGGUAAUGGGUAAAGAAGCACCGGCUAACUACGUG
rnacentral:rRNA from 1 species